UUUGGAAAUCAUUUUCCUAUAGAAAAAGCUAAGCAGAGGCCACUUUUGCAGGAAUUGUUCCAUCGUCUUCCAGUGGCUCCCACAGCCAUCGUCGAGUCCGAAGCCACCAUGAUUCCUUCUACGUGACCUUUCCCCCAUGAGUCACCCAUGCAGAAAUCAAGACAGUUGUCGAGCGGCCUCCUUUGGCCCUCACUCCUGUGUCCUUCCCAGAGGGACAAGCGAGUCGUGGUUUCACCUCUGGUCUUCGGAGCUGGACGACAAGGUCCCAGAGUCACCUCAGGAGCGAGUCGCAGCCUUGUUUCUCCUCAGAUCCCUCUAGAAGGGCGCCGCUGGGGCAUCACGCCGUCAGGGGGUGAAUCUCGUCGUCACAGCUCUUAGGGCUGUUCCGCGGGUGCUGUGAGGACCGGCUGCAGAGCACAGAGCAGAGGGCCUGGCGGGCAGGGGGCCGGUGGUGGGCGAGCCUCCAGCACCACUGUCCCCGGCAUGGGGCCCCUGCGCCCUCCCAUCCACGAGUGGAGCGGGGGGCUCUUCCCAGACACCCUGGCCCUGGCCGCCCCUGCGUCAGCCCCUCCCAGGUUUCCGUGGCCCCCUCAGCUAGCGAGCACUGACUGUGUGCAUCUCUUCCCAACUUGAGGUAGAGUGGGGGGCACACACGGCCCCAGAGGCCCCAGAGGCUGCGGGUGAGCCCCAAGGGAAGCAGACGCUGUCCCCUCGUCCUGUCUACCUUGGGUGGAACAGGAGGGCCUUGGCUGUGAGCACGGGUUACAAGAUCAAAAUCACAGGGCUGCCUUCACAGUGUGUAAACCACGGUCAGGGGCUUGGUUUGGGCCUCAGUUUCCACAUCUGUGAAAUGGGGAGGAGAGAGCUAAUUUGCAUGUUAAAGCAAUGCGAGAUGUGGUUUGAUGAGCACUUUGUAGCACAUAGUAGGUCCUCAAAUUUGCUGUCAGACUGUCUGCCACAGAGCCGGGGGCCCUUGUUGGGCCCAGGCACUGGAGGCACGCGGGCCCUCUUGAGGCUCCACCUGGGGAGGCCCAGGCUUGUCUCCAGGGAGCAAAGCGGAUACUGACGCAGCCCCCUCCGCCCCAGCCUGGGAACCACAGCAUUCUGGGACGUGGGGACUGCGCCAGGACGGGCCGCCAGCUCCCUCUGCUUCUCGUUAGGACUUGUCACCUCCCCCGCCCGGCCCCUCCCUGUUGGGCAGCAGCACUCCUCACCGUCCUUCUGGGACCAUCACGGCCCAGAAAGUCCUGUCAGCUCAGCAGGGUCAAGCCAGGGAAGCUGCGCCUUCCAGAAAGGAGGGGGAAGAGGCCGAGCCUGGACUCUGGACCCGUGAGCCAGGCCCGAGCUGAGCCGCAGAUGCUGUCCAGCCACCUGAACCAGGUGGCCUGUGAGCCUUCCAUCUGUGAGCAGAGACCGGGUCAGAAGUCUCUCCCGCAGGCAGCGAAGGAAACAUACACGAAGGCCUUGCCGGCCCCUGGACUGGGGCGACCCGUGGUUUGUGGAGGUCUUCGCCUGCAUGGUCCUUUGUCAGGAGGUCAGCUCAGAGCUCAGCCCUGCAGGUGGUAUGUCCCCCGUCCUGCGAGUGCAUUUGCAUGUGGUGAGGGAUAUGCUGUGCCCAAGCUUUGCCCCCCAGAGACCCAGAGGUAUCCCACCAAGGCCAAAGGGACGCUGUCCCCAGCCCUGCCGAGGCCAGGAACUCCAGGGAAGCUGUCGGCCGCAGAGCAUCAAGGAGCAGUGCAGGUCGUUUGGAGGGUUCGUCUUCUGA
rnacentral:lncRNA from 1 species